rnacentral:rRNA from 1 species
UACAGAGGGUGCGAGCGUUAAUCGGAAUUACUGGGCGUAAAGGGUGUGUAGGUUGCCAAAUAAGUUAGAUGUGAAAGGCCUGGGCUUAACCUGGGAAUUGCGUUUAAUACUGUUAGGCUAGAGUACUGUAGAGGAUAGUAGAAUUUCCAGUGUAGCGGUGAAAUGCGUAGAUAUUGGAAGGAAUACCAGUGGCGAAGGCGGGUUGCUGGGCUGACACUGACGCUGAGGCGCGAAAGCUAGGGGAGCGAACGGG